AAUUAAGGAUUAUGUUACAAAUUAAAAAUUGAGUAUUUUAUCGUUACAUAACGUUAAGUCUGGGUACUGUUAAUGUAAUUUACCCAAACAAUCAUCUACAAAACUACCGAAAUAUGAGACACUAACAGACUUCACCCAAACUGCAUUAACCACUACCAAGGAAUCCAGCUCAAAAAUGACAUGAUGAAUCAACUCUCUUGACCCAGCUUAGAGCCUUCCUAAAUAACAUUGCCUCAGCUAUUGACAGAUCCGUUGGCCCAUCCAAAACAAUUUGACAAGCAUUUAUCACCUGCCCAUUCUCAUCGCGAAGCACCAAGCCAGCACCAAUACUACCCGAAGAUUGAAGAACCAGCAGGAGGUUCGGACCAAGCAAUACUACCAUCUGUACCUCUUGCGACGAUGAUAAUGCUGCAUAACCACAGAAUGUCCUUGCAUCGUUUGCCAACUAAAGAGAAACGAGUGGGCAUAAUUAACAAUUUGAGCAACAGAAGUCGACGCCCAUUAACUAACUAAUUCACGAAACGGCAAUUUGAAUUCUCCCCAUUAACAGUAACAUUGCAAGUUUUUGAGAAAGCAUUCAUCUAGACCUCAUGAGCAAGCCUGCGAUAAAUGAAUAAAUGAUCUAUAGAUUCAACAACCAUAUCACAU
rnacentral:misc_RNA from 1 species